UCUCCGUUGGUGAACCAGCGGAGGGAUCAUACCGAGUGCAAACUCAUAACCCUUUGUGAACCUAUACCUGUUGCUUCGGCGGCUCGCUCUCGGGCGAGCCCGCCGGUAAUAUCAGUAUCUCUGUUUGAACCCGACGAUACUUCUAAGUGUUCUUAGCGAACAGUUAAAACUUUUAACAACGGAUCUCUUGGCUCUA
rnacentral:misc_RNA from 1 species